rnacentral:rRNA from 1 species
AGCAUGUGGUUUAAUUCGACGCAACGCGAAGAACCUUACCAGGGCUUGACAUCUUCUGACCGCUUAAGGAAACUUAAGCUUUCCGGAAGGUUUACUUUCUGGACAGAAAGACAGGUGGUGCAUGGUUGUCGUCAGCUCGUGUCGUGAGAUGUUGGGUUAAGUCCCGCAACGAGCGCAACCCCUACGGUUAGUUGCUAACGGGUAAGGCCGAGCACUUUAGCCGAACUGCCGUUGACAAAACGGAGGAAGCGGGGAUGACGUCAAAUCAUCAUGCCCUUUAUGUCCUGGGCUACACACGUGCUACAAUGGCCUGUACAAAGGGCAGCAAAGGGGCGACCCGGAGCAAAUCCCAAAAACAGGUCUCAGUUCGGAUUGCAGGCUGCAACUCGCCUGCAUGAAGUUGGAGUUGCUAGUAAACGCAGGUCAGCCAUACUGCGUUGAAUACGUUCCCGGGGCUU